AUAAGUAAAUUUUUAUUUCAAAAUUUAACCCUAUUCCGAUGGGCUUUUUAAAAAAAAUGUAUCAUAUGUUAUAGAUUGGUAUCACAAUAAGGAAAUGGAGGGGGUUAACUGUACACCCACACAUUUGUACAGAGUAAAUAAAUACUUGCCGCAACCCUUUAUAUUCAAUACGUGCUGUAUGUCAGUAGAUUUUACCGUAGAUAAAUUGCCAUUUUCAAUUUUAGCUGUAACCCAACGGUAUGGUGAAGACGACAUUAGAUAAUUAUUCUAAUUUAUCUAAGGUGUACACGGCACGCAUUUUAACUAAAUAUACUUAACACACUCUUUAUUAAAUCUGUUCCAAGGGAGAACUCUGUCUUUUGGUUCCAGUAACUGUUUAUCAGCAGGAGAAGAAUGUGUUCUACCGACUGCUUCAACUCCUAUAACUGAGGUUUGUUGCCAAGAUCAGAUGUUAGUGUGUAUAAGGUUUAAUUAUUUGUAUUUGUUUAGUCCUAUAACUGAGGUUUGUUGCCAAGAUCAGAUGUUAGUGUGUAUAGAGGAUCCUGAUGAGGAG